AGUGGACGCUGGCGGUAGGCCUAACACAUGCAAGUCGAACGGCAGCACAGUAAGAGCUUGCUCUUACGGGUGGCGAGUGGCGGACGGGUGAGGAAUACAUCGGAAUCUACUUUUUCGUGGGGGAUAACGUAGGGAAACUUACGCUAAUACCGCAUACGACCUACGGGUGAAAGCAGGGGAUCUUCGGACCUUGCGCGAUUGAAUGAGCCGAUGUCGGAUUAGCUAGUUGGCGGGGUAAAGGCCCACCAAGGCGACGAUCCGUAGCUGGUCUGAGAGGAUGAUCAGCCACACUGGAACUGAGACACGGUCCAGACUCCUACGGGAGGCAGCAGUGGGGAAUAUUGGACAAUGGGCGCAAGCCUGAUCCAGCCAUACCGCGUGGGUGAAGAAGGCCUUCGAGUUGUAAAGCCCUUUUGUUGGGAAAGAAAAGCAGCAGGUUAAUACCCCGCUGUUCUGACGGUACCCAAAGAAUAAGCACCGGCUAACUUCGUG
rnacentral:rRNA from 1 species